rnacentral:rRNA from 1 species
GACGAACGCUGGCGGCGUGCUUAACACAUGCAAGUCGAACGGAAAGGCCCCUUUGGGGGUCCUCGAGUGGCGCACGGGUGAGUAACACGUGAGUAACCUGCCCUUGACUUCGGGAUAACUUCAGGAAACUGGGGCUAAUACCGGAUAGGAAUCCUUGCUGCAUGGUGGGGGUUGGAAAGCUUCGGCGGUUUUGGAUGGACUCGCGGCUUAUCAGCUUGUUGGUGGGGUAGUGGCUUACCAAGGCUUUGACGGGUAGCCGGCCUGGGAGGGCGACCGGCCACAUUGGGACUGAGAUACGGCCCAGACGCCUACGGGAGGCAGCAGUGGGGAAUAUUGCACAAGGGGCGGAAGCCUGAUGCAGCAACGCCGCGUGCGGGAUGACGGCCUUCGGGUUGGAAACCGCUUUCAGCAGGGGCGAAGCUUGUGGUGACGGUACCUGCAGAAGAAGCACCGGCUAACUACGUG